CCCUUCUCCUCCCUUUCUUCUCCACAGACGGAUCAUCAAGCCCUGAGGAGAAGCCAGCAGUCUGCUCCCACGCUCCCGUCCUUCUCCUACCUUUGGAACCCUCGUGUAAAUAAGCCACGUCUACAAAUUGUCUCAGGUAGUCUGUUAUAACGGCAGAGCUGACCAAGACAAGAUCUAAUGGACAAUAGCUGGGCCAUGCGUUUUACCCCUCAGUGGGUGUUGGGCGGCUGGAUGUGUGCAAAGCUGAGGGAUGAAGGAGAACAGAAGACUGACUAAGAGGGUCUGACUGGGCCCGGGAUGUGGUCUAGGUGAUUAGAACUUGGCACUUCCUCCUAUUGUCUAGCAGCAGCAUGGCCAGCAGUGGAGGCUACAAAGACCAUCGGGAGAGCUUGGCUCCGGCCCAGACCGGGUGUGAGCUGCUGGCUGCCAUCCCCAGACUCUCCCCACCGUGGUCUGCAGUUCUCUCGCCCUGGGCCCUGGUCACUUUCUCUUCAUCCUUUUUCUGGCAGCAAGGAAGCUCCUUACUCCCAGGUGGGUGUUCAUUCCUUCGCAACCUCACACUCCAGUUCUCAGCAAAGCUGGCGCCUAGAAUCACCGUUUGAAGUCCCAUGGCCCC
rnacentral:sRNA from 1 species